UGUCCAGUAGCACCUUAGAGACCAACUACGUUUGUUCUGGGUAUAAGCUUUCGUGUCCAUGGUAUCUGAAGAAAUGUGCAUGCACACGAAAGCUUAUACCCAGAACAAACUUAGUCUAAGGUGCUACUGGACA